AUUAUUCUACUUCAUUGUGAAACCGUUUUUUUCCAAUCGUAAUAAUGAAACGCCUUUACCCUAAUCCCUUCCAUAACCGAAACAAGUCCCGGUUGUCGUUCUAUUGCACAACUAUGUUAAUCCCAGAUUUGCAAUCAGAAGUACAUGCUUGGACGGCUUAAUAAAAGGAACAUUACAUUGGAAAUAUCCCGUUUUCUCUAGAUGAUAGAGGAAAUUAUGCUCCUAAGCAGCAAAGGGAGUAUGCUCUACCACAUGAUAUUUGCAUUUGUGUGCUUUGUUUUGGUAGAAAUGGCAUAAGCUUUUCAAGUGAUUGUUCACUUUUCAUGCAUCUUCUUUUUGUUGCUCUUAAAUCUUCUGUACCCAAUUUUUAUGCAGAUUCAAUUGUCACCUGUAAUGCUAUUUUUAGUUUUAUGCAAAUUUUAUUGUCACAAGUUAUUAAAUUUGUAUAGUUUAGCAUUCUACUUUACAGUUUCCAAGGGGGUGGCCACCUUGGCAAGAGUCCAUGGACUCAUUUUUUGGCCAAGUCUUUUGAGUUUCCAAUAGCGACAACAUCUGAUAACGGUGAAUUAAUCAUGACGCCGACUUCACUAUACUUAUCAGAAAAGGGCGGUCGAGGACAGAUGGUAGGUGCAUCUAUUAGGAGCUCAAAACAGUGGAGAGGGAUUAAAGUCACACGAGACUAAGAAAUGAUAAUCCGGAAAAUAUUGAAUUCGCUGAGUUCUUGCUACAGGUUGGGCCAGACCCGAAGAAUAAGGUUGAGUUGCCAAGUGCAAUACAGAGAAUAGCGAUGCACAUAUUUGAAGGACUUGAUUUCACAAAUCUAUCCGGGAACGGAGGAAAAUAGAUAGUUGACGACCAGCUAAUUGAUAGAAAGGAUUAUUUUGUCUCAGAGGAAUUAAUACGUUGCCGCAAUGAAUGAGAUGAUCCUCAAAAUGUACAGAGGCCGUAACUACUCUUACCUAGCAGCAGAUAAAAUGGCAAAGAACUUUGAAAAGGGUCCGAUAGGAAAUACAGGGUGUCCAAGUGAGUGUUUGAAUGCCAUGAAACCACCCGGCGAUGAUUCUUCGGAAUGUUGCACGGAUGAAUAGGAUGUGAAACCUCAGAAUAAGGGUAGAGUGAUGUGCACCUCAUGUACUAUAAGCAACAUUGACUCCAUGGGGAAUUCUCUUAUUGAUUGAGAUCUUAACAGGAGAUAAGCAGGGAGAUUUUUUUUUCAUUCCACGGGUAUCAUUGACAUCAUCGUCAUCACCUCCAGAUUUUACAGACACUGUAGAUUCAAUACAAUGCACAGGCUCAAAUGGUUUCUCCACAAAAACCUGCUACAACUGGCUUAUAGAGAGAGCUAAUACUCCAUCAUCUCAAGUUCCAUAUUCAUGCAUCUAGAUUAAGAAUGUUCCACCUAAAGUCCAAAUAUUUCUAUGGUAUGCAGCUCAAAAUGCUAUACCUACAACAAACAAUCUAAAUAGAAGAGGAUGUAACAUAAACAACCCAAUCUGCUCAUUAUGCUCCAUAGAAGAUGAAAUAGUAAGUCACUUAUUAAUACACUGCCCAUUCUCAGUACAAAUCUGGAAUUAUUUCUUAAAUGGAUAUAAUGUGAGAUGAGCUCAAACUAGAGAUAUAACAUCCCUUCUGCAAGCUUGGAAGUUCAGAAGAGGAAGAAAUAGAAGCGAAAGAUUUGGCCAUUGAUUGCUUUUGUCAUUUCAUGGGAGCUUUGGAACGAAAGAAACAGGAGAACCAUAGCAGGUAAAAGACCCAGAUCCUCAGCAACAAUCAUCAAUGAAGUUAAAGAAACAAUUUAUAAAUGGGGGGCAGCUGAAGGUUGGUUCAAAUUUGACACUUUCAGGGAUCUAAUCACUCAUUGGAAAGUAAUUUUCGAUUGCAGAGUGUAGAGUGUGUUAGAAUAUAUAUUGUUGUAAUGUGAGUCAUGUGG